UACGUAUGGGGCAAGCGUUAUCCGGAUUUACUGGGUGUAAAGGGAGCGUAGGCGGCCUGGCAAGUCUGGUGUGAAAUCCCGGGGCCCAACCCCGGGGCUGCAUUGGAAACUGCCAGGCUGGAGUGCCGGAGGGGCAGGCGGAAUUCCUAGUGUAGCGGUGAAAUGCGUAGAUAUUAGGAGGAACACCGGUGGCGAAGGCGGCCUGCUGGACGGCAACUGACGCUGAGGCUCGAAAGCGUGGGGAGCAA
rnacentral:rRNA from 1 species